UCUCCGUUGGUGAACCAGCGGAGGGAUCAUUACUGAGUGAGGGUCUCCGGGCCCGACCUCCAACCCUUUUGUGAACCACCUCGUUGCCUCGGGGGCGACCCUGCCGUCACGGCACCGGCGCCCCCGGCGGACAUCAAACACUGCAUCCCUGCGUCGGAGCGAUUUAGUAAAUCUAAACAAAACUUUCAACAACGGGUCUCUUGGUUCUGGCAUCGAUGAAGAACGCAGC
rnacentral:misc_RNA from 1 species